GUGUUUUUAUUUCAGCAAACUAUAUAUUAGCCAACGUAUAUACCAAUGGUAGGAAAGUUGAUAAAUUAUUUUAUUUUAGCUAGACAUAUGACAUAUUUCACAAAUAGAUUGAAAAAUGGAACAAGGUUACCCAAGAAACUUUAAUGAACCACCUCCUUAUUACCAAGCCGCAACGUUUCCUGUGCAACAACAACCAGAUAUUAGAUUUACACCUCAAUAUCAAAGCAGCAAUCAAUCUCAGCAAUUUUAUCCUUCACCUCCUCUAAUUGGAAACGUACCAUGCGGAAAUUCUUAUCAUGCAACUACAAAUCAACUACCGGCAGCAGUAAAUAUAAGACAACUUCCAAGUAAUUAUAAUACAGCUGCUUGGUUAUCUUGUUUUUUCUGUUGUUGUCCUCUCGGUCUUAUGUCGAUCAUUAAAUCUAAUGAGGUCAAUAACGCUCUUUUGUUAGGAGACAUUACAAGAGCGCAACUUGCUUCUCAAUCUGCCAAACAAUAUGCCGCGGCGGCUGUGAUUUGUGGAAUCAAUAUCAUCAUUAUAUCUGUAGUUUUAAUUUUUGAAUAUUUGUCUUAGUUGUAAAAA